AAUAGAUACCCUGGUAGUCCACGCCGUAAACGAUGAGUGCUAAGUGUUAGAGGGUUUCCGCCCUUUAGUGCUGCAGCUAACGCAUUAAGCACUCCGCCUGGGGAGUACGGUCGCAAGACUGAAACUCAAAGGAAUUGACGGGGGCCCGCACAAGCGGUGGAGCAUGUGGUUUAAUUCGAAGCAACGCGAAGAACCUUACCAGGUCUUGACAUCCUCUGACAACUCUAGAGAUAGAGCGUUCCCCCUUCGGGGGGACAGAGUGACAGGUGGUGCAUGGUUGUCGUCAGCUCGUGUCGUGAGAUGUUGGGUUAAGUCCCGCAACGAGCGCAACCCUUGAUCUUAGUUGCCAGCAUUUAGUUGGGCACUCUAAGGUGACUGCCGGUGACAAACCGGAGGAAGGUGGGAUGACGUCAAAUCAUCAUCGCCCCUUAUGACCUGGGCUACACACGUGCUACAAUGGAUGGUACAAAGGGCUGCAAGACCGCGAGGUCAAGCCAAUCCCAUAAAACCAUUCUCAGUUCGGAUUGUGG
rnacentral:rRNA from 1 species